rnacentral:sRNA from 1 species
UUUGCCUCUGGUCUCUUGUGGGCUGCUGCUCUUGCCUUGAGCGUGGAAGAGGAUUAGAGUUAGACGGGGUUUCACUGUGUUAGCCAGGAUGGUCUCGAUCUUCUGACCUCAUGAUCCGCCCGCCUCGGCCUCCCAAUAAGACUGGGUUUCUAUACUCUUGUGGCAUGCUCUUGUAGGAAUUAUCACAGAACAUUCAAAAUGCCAGUUGAAGUUUUGCUUUUCAUCCAGCACGUGUAUGGUGCUCAACACCCCCCCUUUGAUCCACUGUUACAUGGCACUUUGCUCAGGUCCACGGCCAAGAUGCCCACCACACCAGUGAAGGCCAAGCGGGUCAGCACCUUCCAGGAGUUUGAGAGCAAUACCAGCGAUGCCUGGGACGCUGGGGAGGACGAUGACGAGCUCCUGGCCAUGGCGGCGGAGAGCCUGAACUCCGAGGUGGUCAUGGAGACGGCCAACCGUGUGCUGCGUAACCACAGCCAGCGGCAGGGGCGGCCCACACUGCAGGAGGGGCCAGGGCUUCAGCAGAAGCCCAGGCCCGAGGCAGAGCCGCCCU